rnacentral:rRNA from 1 species
GAUGAACGCUGGCGGCGUGCCUAAUACAUGCAAGUCGAGCGAACGGACGAGAAGCUUGCUUUUCUGAUGUUAGCGGCGGACGGGUGAGUAACACGUGGAUAACCUACCUAUAAGACUGGGAUAACUUCGGGAAACCGGAGCUAAUACCGGAUAAUAUUUUGAACCGCAUGGUUCAAAAGUGAAAGACGGUCUUGCUGUCACUUAUAGAUGGAUCCGCGCUGCAUUAGCUAGUUGGUAAGGUAACGGCUUACCAAGGCAACGAUGCAUAGCCGACCUGAGAGGGUGACCGGCCACACUGGAACUGAGACACGGUCCAGCCUCCUACGGGAGGCAGCAGUAGGGAAUCUUCCGCAAUGGGCGAAAGCCUGACGGAGCAACGCCGCGUGAGUGAUGAAGGUCUUCGGAUCGUAAAACUCUGUUAUUAGGGAAGAACAUAUGUGUAAGUAACUGUGCACAUCUUGACGGUACCUAAUCAGAAAGCCACGGCUAACUACGUG